AGGGUGUAAACGCUGCAGACUUGGUGUUGGACCUCGGGUGCUCAGUGCCGGAGAGAAGUUGUUAAGUCUGCUACUUGGGGAGUACGUCCGCAAGGAUGAAACUUAAAGGAAUUGGCGGGGGAGCACCGCAACGGGAGGAGCGUGCGGUUUAAUUGGAUUCAACGCCGAAAAACUCACCAGCAGCGACUGUUACAUGAAAGUCGGGCUGAAGACCCUGCAUGACUAGCUGAGAGGUGGUGCAUGGCGUAGACGUCU
rnacentral:rRNA from 1 species